GGGGGGAGCAAGCGUUGUUCGGAUUUACUGGGCGUAAAGGGCGCGUAGGCGGUCAGCACAAGUCAGUUGUGAAAUCUCCGGGCUUAACUCGGAAAGGUCAACUGAUACUGUGCGACUAGAGUGCGGAAGGGGCAACUGGAAUUCUCGGUGUAGCGGUGAAAUGCGUAGAUAUCGAGAGGAACACCUGCGGCGAAGGCGGGUUGCUGGGCCGACACUGACGCUGAGGCGCGAAAGCCAGGGGAGCGAACGGGAUUAGAUACCCCGGUAGUCCUGGCCUUAAACGAUGGAUGCUUGGUGUCUGGGGUUUUAUAGUCCCCGGGUGCCGCAGCUAACGCGUUAAGCAUCCCGCCUGGGGAGUACGGUCGCAAGACUG
rnacentral:rRNA from 1 species